rfam:Vicugna pacos cont1.87120, whole genome shotgun sequence.
UUUUCAGCUUUAGAGCAAAAUCAGAAACUGUCACAAAAACUUAAGAAUUUCUUUAAUGGAUCAUAUGAGUUUAUGAACACAUAAAAGGACAAUUUUGUGAUUGUCAGCUUUGAGUUGAGGAUAUAUCACAGGCAUCUUAGUUGCCCUUACUUAUUUUUGGAGACAUUUCUCUCAGCCAUUAAUGAAGCAAU